rnacentral:rRNA from 1 species
GAUGAACGCUGGCGGCGUGCCUAAUACAUGCAAGUCGAGCGAACAGACGAGGAGCUUGCUCCUCUGACGUUAGCGGCGGACGGGUGAGUAACACGUGGAUCACCUACCUAUAAGACUGGGAUAACUUCGGGAAACCGGCGCUAAUACCGGAUAAUAUAUUGAACCGCAUGGUUCAAUAGUGAAAGACGGUUUUGCUGUCACUUAUAGAUGGAUCCGCGCCGCAUUAGCUAGUUGGUAAGGUAACGGCUUAUCAAGGCAACGAUGCGUAGCCGACCUGAGAGGGGGAUCGGCCACACUGGAACUGAGACACGGUCCAGACGCCUACGGGAGGCAGCAGUAGGGAAUCGUCCGCAAUGGGCGAAAGCUUGACGGAGCAACGCCGCGUGAGUGAUGAAGGUCUUCGGAUCGUAAAACUCUGUUAUGAGGUAAGAACAAAUGUGUAAGUAACUAUGCACGUCUUGACGGUACCGAAUCAGAAAGCCACGGCUAACUACGUG